rnacentral:misc_RNA from 1 species
GAUGUGUAUAAGAGCCAGGUGAAUCAUCGAAUCUUUGAACGCACAUUGCGCCCGGUGGCAUUCCGCCGGGCAUGCCUGUUCGAGCGUCAUUUAAACCAAUCCAGCCUCGUGCUUGGGUCUUGGGCCUUUCGCCUCUGGGCGGGCCUCAAAAUCAGUGGCGGCGCCUCCUGGCUCUACGCGUAGUAAUACUCCUCGCUAUAGAUGUCUGGUGGUGUCCUGCCAAAACCCCCAUAUUUUUUAAGGUUGACCUCGGAUCAGGUAGGGAUACCCGCUGAACUUAAGCAUAUCAAUAAGCGGAGG